rnacentral:rRNA from 1 species
UACGGGAGGUGCAAGCGUUGUUCGGAAUCACUGGGCGUAAAGAGCACGUAGGCGGGUUCGUAUGUCAUCUGUGAAAACCCUGGGCUCAACCUGGGACCUGCAGGUGAAACUGCGAAUCUUGAAUACCUAAGAGGGUGGGGGAAUUCCUGGUGGAGAAGUGAAAUUCGUAGAUAUCAGGAGGAACAUCGGAGGCGAAGGCGCCUGCCUGGUAGUGUAUUGACGCUGAGGUGCGAAAGUGCGGGGAGCAAACAGGAUUAGAUACCCUGGUAGUCCGCACCGUAAACUAUGGAUACUAGGUGUUCGAGGAGUUAACCCCUUGAGUACCAAAGCUCACGCAUUAAGUAUCCCGCCUGGGAAGUACGGUCGCAAGACUAAA